ACUAGCUGUCACCUUGUUUGCUAAAUCAGUAUCAAAAUCUCAAAGGUUCUAAUUUUAUUUUCUUUCCUUUCAUUCUAUCGUUCUCCUCUCCAGAUGAAAUCCCAACUUUGUCAUAUCUCCUCAUCUUCAUCCUUCUAUUAAGAACCAGAAAGAAAACCAAUUUUCUUCUUGUAACCUUCUUCAUCUCUCCAGAUCCAAUGGCUAAUUACCUUAACCAAUCGACCUUCAUGAACCUAAAAGCUACCACUACGAACCAGAAAGAAAAACUCAACCAUUAAAAUUCCUUCUUCUAAAAUCAUUUCUUUGAAACCCUUACCUUCAAAAUAAACCCAUUUUCUAUUGUUCUUGAAUCAAUUUCAUGUUCGAAAGAAUCCCAUUUUAUUUUCACAAUUUCCUUUUCGUGCUUGUUAGGGGUUUGAUUUUCUACAAACUUUGUCAGCAAUUGCUAGAAGAACAUUUAACAUCUUUGAAGAUUUCCAGCCUUCAGAUCGUUGGUGGUGGUGGAGGUUGUGUGGACUGAACUGGUGCUGGUGACUGGAUGCUUGGAGAGGGAAUCAAUUAGUUUGAUGAAGCAUUGGUGGUGAUGGUAACCAGCUCGUUGGGGGUGGUGGAGGUUGUAUGGAGUGAACUGGUGGUGGUGAAGAGGUGUUUGGAGAGGGAGAGCAAUUUGCAGGUGUUGUUGAAAGGGUGAAUAUGAUCUAGCACUUGUGGGAAAGGUCUUCUUUGGUAGUGUUGUUGGUGCAAAUUCAGGCCAAUCUCUUGCUUGACAAGCACCAUUAGGUGCAGGGUUACCUAAUACUGUAAUCUGCACUACCACAAACAAAGUUUGGGCAUCAUGAAUGAAAGUAAUGAAGAAAUAUGGCUUAUAUGCUGCAAUCUGUGCUUCCGUAGCAAUGCUAAGUAUCUGGUGCUAUUCCUCGAAGAUUCACAGGGCUACCUGGAGCUGUGCAAUUCCAAAUGAAAAUUGUUAACAAUAAG